rnacentral:rRNA from 1 species
UACGUAGGGGGCGAGCGUUGUCCGGAAUCAUUGGGCGUAAAGCGCGUGUAGGCGGCCCGGUAAGUCCGCUGUGAAAGUCCAGGGCUCAACCCUGGGAUGCCGGUGGAUACUGUCGGGCUCGAGUCCGGAAGAGGCGAGUGGAAUUCCUGGUGUAGCGGUGAAAUGCGCAGAUAUCAGGAGGAACACCAAUGGCGAAGGCAGCUCGCUGGGACGUGACUGACGCUGAGACGCGAAAGCCAGGGGAGCAAACGGG